AGUCGAGCGGAUGAAGGGAGCUUGCUCCUGGAUUCAGCGGCGGACGGGUGAGUAAUGCCUAGGAAUCUGCCUGGUAGUGGGGGAUAACGUCCGGAAACGGGCGCUAAUACCGCAUACGUCCUGAGGGAGAAAGUGGGGGAUCUUCGGACCUCACGCUAUCAGAUGAGCCUAGGUCGGAUUAGCUAGUUGGUGGGGUAAAGGCCUACCAAGGCGACGAUCCGUAACUGGUCUGAGAGGAUGAUCAGUCACACUGGAACUGAGACACGGUCCAGACUCCUACGGGAGGCAGCAGUGGGGAAUAUUGGACAAUGGGCGAAAGCCUGAUCCAGCCAUGCCGCGUGUGUGAAGAAGGUCUUCGGAUUGUAAAGCACUUUAUGUUGGGAGGAAGGGCAGUAAGUUAAUACCUUGCUGUUUUGACGUUACCAACAGAAUAAGCACCGGCUAACUUCGUGCCAGCAGCCGCGGUAAUACAAAGGGUGCAAGCGUUAAUC
rnacentral:rRNA from 1 species